GACGAACGCUGGCGGCGUGCUUAACACAUGCAAGUCGAACGGAAAGGCCCCUUUGGGGGUCCUCGAGUGGCGAACGGGGGUGUAACACGUGAGUAACCUGCCCUUGACUUCGGGAUAACUUCAGGAAACUGGGGCUAAUACCGGAUAGGAAUCCUUGCUGCAUGGUGGGGUUGGAAAGCUUCGGCGGCUUUGGGUGGACUCGCGGCUUAUCAGCUUGUUUGUUGGGUAGUGGCUUACCAAGGCUUUGACGGGUAGCCGGCCUGGGAGGGCGACCGGCCACAUUGGGACUGAGAGACGGCCCAGACGCCUACGGGGGGCAGCAGGGGGGAAUAUUGCACAAGGGGCGGGAGCCUGAUGAAGAAACGCCGCGGGCGGGAUGACGGCCUUCGGGUUGGAAACCGCUUUCAGCAGGGGCGAAGCUUGUGGUGACGGUACCUGCAGAAGAAGCACCGGCUAACUACGUG
rnacentral:rRNA from 1 species